rnacentral:rRNA from 1 species
CAGUCGAGCGGACAGAUGGGAGCUUGCUCCCUGAUGUUAGCGGCGGACGGGUGAGUAACACGUGGGUAACCUGCCUGUAAGACUGGGAUAACUCCGGGAAACCGGGGCUAAUACCGGAUGCUUGUUUGAACCGCAUGGUUCAAACAUAAAAGGUGGCUUCGGCUACCACUUACAGAUGGACCCGCGGCGCAUUAGCUAGUUGGUGAGGUAAUGGCUCACCAAGGCAACGAUGCGUAGCCGACCUGAGAGGGUGAUCGGCCACACUGGGACUGAGACACGGCCCAGACUCCUACGGGAGGCAGCAGUAGGGAAUCUUCCGCAAUGGACGAAAGUCUGACGGAGCAACGCCGCGUGAGUGAUGAAGGUUUUCGGAUCGUAAAGCUCUGUUGUUAGGGAAGAACAAGUACCGUUCGAAUAGGGCGGUACCUUGACGGUACCUAACCAGAAAGCCACGGCUAACUACGUGCCAGCAGCCGCGGUAAUACGUAGGUGGCAAGCGUUGUCCGGAAUUAUUGGGCGUAAAGGGCUCGCAGGCGGUUUCUUAAGUCUGAUGUGAAAGCCCCCGGCUCAACCGGGGAGGGUCAUUGGAAACUGGGGAACUUGAGUGCAGAAGAGGAGAGUGGAAUUCCACGUGUAGCGGUGAAAUGCGUAGAGAUGUGGAGGAACACCAGGUGGCGAAAGCGACUCUCUGGUCUGUAACUGACGCUGAGGAGCGAAAGCGUGGGGAGCG